rnacentral:rRNA from 1 species
UACAGAGGGGGCAAGCGUUGUUCGGAAUUACUGGGCGUAAAGGGCGCGUAGGCGGCCCGCUAAGUCGAACGUGAAAUCCCUGGGCUCAACCCAGGAACUGCGUCCGAUACUGGCAGGCUUGAAUCCGGGAGAGGGAUGCGGAAUUCCAGGUGUAGCGGUGAAAUGCGUAGAUAUCUGGAGGAACACCGGUGGCGAAGGCGGCAUCCUGGGCCGGCAUUGACGCUGAGGCGCGGAAGCCAGGGGAGCAAACGGG